GAUGAAGAACGUAGCGAAAUGCGAUAAGUAGUGUGAAUUGCAGAAUUCAGUGAAUCAUCGAAUCUUUGAACGCACAUUGCCCCCCUUGGUAUCCCGAGGGGCAUGCCUGUUCGAGCGUCAUUUCACCACUCAAGCCUGGCUUGGUGUUGGGCGACGUCCUCUUUGGGGACGCGCCUCGAAACGCUCGGCGGCGUGGCACCGGCUUUAAGCGUAGCAGAAUCUUUCGCUUUGGAAGUCGGGGCCCCGUCUGCCGGAAGACCUGCUCGCAAGGUUGACCUCGGAUCAGGCAGGGAUACCCGCUGAACUUAAGCAUAUCAAUAAGCGGAGGA
rnacentral:misc_RNA from 1 species